AAACGCGAACGCACACGCUACGAUUGUGGGCGCUGCCACCGGAAACCAAGUUGAACCCAGUGCCUCUAACUAACCAACAAAAAAAAAAAAGAAAAUCAAAUUCAUAUUGCCCACGAGGACUGCGAAACUGCGAAACGAAAGAAAAAUUCAAUUUCAAUAAAAUCAAUAAAGGAAAAUCAACAAAUGAAAAUAUCAAAAGAAUUUGGCGCAUAAUUUAAUUCCAACCGACAAACAACUAGCGAUAUCGAUAAACCCCGCGCUUAAAACUGCAGCCAAACCAACAAAAACCCCAGUUACAAGCGAGACAAAAUCAACAACAUUUUUUGGAAUUAAUUUUAUUUGAUGCGCGCGCUCAUAAAAAUUUACAUAGAAAGGCAGCCAGCAGAGCCAACGAAACACAAAAAAUAAAUACAACCGACCCAGGAUAGAGCCAGAGCGACAAAAGUGAAUUGGUUAACCAUGGAAAGGGCGUAACUGGCAACUGCUGACCCGGGCCAUAUAACUUUAGAUGAGCGCGCCACUGUGCCACAAUUUCGUUUUACACCUGUCGAAGCUGCCACACCCACGACGACGACGAGCAACUUUUUCCAACUCUCUCGACAAAACAAUAAUAACAAAAGCAAAGACAAGAAAACCAAAAACGAGAGCAACAUCAGUGAUAUGGAACAGUGCAUAGCAACAAAGUCAAAAAAGGAAACAGCUCAGAGUUCAAUGCAGCAGCAAACUAGCAAUUAUCAAAAGAAAUGCCACCAAAAUCAAACCAGUACUCAGGUAGAGAGCACUUACACAAGCAACAGCGACAGCGAGAGCAGCAGCCGCAGCAGCCACAGAGAUCUAGACCACCUGAGAAAGCAACUAGAAAACCAACGAGCAACAUUAACAUUACAAGGUUCCAAUACAACAUUAUCAAACUUGAGCAGUAGAAGCAGCAGCAAAACUAGAAGGAACAAUAUUGAUAGCAACAUUAAUAGCAACAUACAAAAUAACAUUAAUAGCAGCAGCAACUUUAAAAGCAACAGCAACUUUAAAAGCAACAGCAACUUUAGUGGCCAGAGCAACAUCAGGGAAAGCAAUAGCAACAAAAGCAGCAGCAACAAAAGCAGC